GAUGAAGAACGUAGCGAAAUGCGAUAAGUAAUGCGAAUUGCAGAAUUUCCGUGAGUCAUCGAAUCUUUGAACGCACAUUGCGCCCAUUGGUAUUCCGAUGGGCAUGCCUGUUCGAGCGUCAUUAUCUUCCCUCAAACCUCGCGUUUGGUGUUGGGCCGUGCUGGUUCCUGCGGGACCAACUGGCCUCAAAGACAAUGACGGCGUCCGUGGGGACCCUCGAUGCAACGAGCUUUCUCAGGAGCACGCGUCGAGUUUUAAAGGAUCUUCCGGGCCGGUCUCGCAUGUUAUUACAAAGGUUGACCUCGGAUCAGGUAGGGAUACCCGCUGAACUUAAGCAUAUCAAUAAGCGGAGGA
rnacentral:misc_RNA from 1 species